CCGAGGAGGGUGGGGGUGUUGCGGAGGCCACGGGCUGCCUGACCCACUUUGCUGGGCUGCGUCACCGCUCCCUUGUGCGUGCCCUGCCCUGUCCCUGCUGUGGGGCUGGGCCCAUGACCUGGGUGCCACCAGUGACAGCAGCGUGAUGGCACUGCCAGCAUUGCGGCGUCUGGCGCCGUGGCAGCCUGCUGGGCACAUGGGGGCAGCGGUACCCAGGACUCCGCCAGCAGUGAUUGCAGCCCGGGGAAGCCAUUUAGCUUUUAAGCACCCUUCCAGCCUGCUUAAAAAUGCAUUCAGAAUCAAAUGAGUUUGUGCAGCGGGGCCAUGGCUGGCUGCUCUGGCUGGGUGAGAGGCUGAGAAUUAGGACCAAAGUAGCUCGAGUCAGAGUCAAAAUUAAAUUUAUUGUUUCUGACCUUAUUUGGAGUACAGUGCAUUUACAAGUGAUUAAUGAGGCUUACAGCAGUUUCAGGCUCAGUCGUGCUGCUUGGCGCAGCCUUUUGGACUCUCCUGUCCUUGGUGAGACCCCUCAGAGCCUGGGAACCUGCCUGCAUGCACCGAGCUUGGCAGUGCUGGGCCAGAAGGGAGCCUGCAGGAGCCAGGACGGGCCUUUGGAAGCGGCGCUGAGGCCAGGACAGCCAAAAUGGAACCGGCCUGGGGGUUCUGGAGCCAAAAAUCAAAGUGCUGCAUUUCUCGUUCAUGGGAAAAAUGAGGUGGGCAUUUACCCUCUGGUGAUUAAGUCUCCCACUAUGAGCACAUCCCCAUCCUCUGUGCCACCGAGCCCCUGAAUCCCACUGGGGCUGCUGCCCAUGGGCUUGGCUCAGCUGCGUUCCUCUCCUCUGCCUCUGGGCUGCAGAGCCCUGCACCUCCCGUUCCAGCUCCAAGUUCCCCAUCCAGACAGGGAGAACGGGGAGACGCCUGGGAGCAGCAGGCCAUGUGGUGGAGGCUCCGUGCAGGCAUUCAAGGACACUGCCAGCGCUGUGAGGCUGCAGCAGCUCAGCCCUGCCUGCCCCGUGGCACCGAACAUCCCCUGUCCAGGUAGAUGUACUGCUCAGCCAUCAACUCCCAGCACAAGAAAAGGUGGCAGUUUGUCAGCCUGGAAUCAAAAGGUUGUUAAUGACAUACAUAUUAGACACAGAAAACUGGAUUAACAAUGACACUUUGGCCCUGAGGGCUUUUUUUGGCUCUGGAAAUAAAUUCUACCCUUGAUCUAUUCUGCCUACAA